rfam:Ovis aries breed Texel chromosome 7, whole genome shotgun sequence.
GUUCUUAUAGCUGAAUUAACAGUGAUGAUUUUUCAUUUCAUUGGCUAUGGUUAGAGUCCACGUAAGAACA